rnacentral:rRNA from 1 species
GAUGAACGCUGGCGGCGUGCUUAACACAUGCAAGUCGAACGGAGUGCUCAUGACAGAGGAUUCGUCCAAUGGAAUGAGUUACUUAGUGGCGGACGGGUGAGUAACGCGUGAGUAACCUGCCUUGGAGUGGGGAAUGACACAGUGAAAAUUGUGCUAAUACCGCAUAAUGCAGCUGAGUCGCAUGGCUCUGGCUGCCAAAGAUUUAUCGCUCUGAGAUGGACUCGCGUCUGAUUAGCUAGUUGGCGGGGUAACGGCCCACCAAGGCGACGAUCAGUAGCCGGACUGAGAGGUUGGCCGGCCACAUUGGGACUGAGACACGGCCCAGACUCCUACGGGAGGCAGCAGUGGGGAAUAUUGGGCAAUGGGCGCAAGCCUGACCCAGCAACGCCGCGUGAAGGAAGAAGGCUUUCGGGUUGUAAACUUCUUUUCUCAGGGACGAAGCAAGUGACGGUAC